rnacentral:rRNA from 1 species
GACGAACGCUGGCGGCGUGCUUAACACAUGCAAGUCGAGCGGAGCGGCGAACGGGUGAGUAACGCGUGAGUAACUGCCCCCCUCUCUGGGAUAACAGUUGGAAACGGCUGCUAAUACCGGAUAGUGGGGGAUGACUCGCGUCCUAUCGGAUUGUUGGUGGGGUAGUGGCCUACCAAGGCGACGACGGGUAGCCGGCCUGGGAGGGGGACCGGCCACAAUGGUCUAAGAUAGGGCCCAAAUGCCAACGGGGGGCAGCGGUGGGAAAUAUGCCGAAGUGGGGGAAACCCUGAUGCAGCAACGCCGCGUGCGGGAUGACGGCCUUCGGGUUGGAAACCGCUUUCAGCCAUGACGCGGUAGUGGCAGAAGAAGCACCGGCUAACUACGUGCCAGCAGCCGCGGUAAUAC